AAUAGAUACCCAGGUAGUCCACGCCGUAAACGAUGGAUGCUAGCUGUUAUGAGUAUCGACCCUUGUAGUAGCGAAGCUAACGCGUUAAGCAUCCCGCCUGUGGAGUACGAGCGCAAGCUUAAAACAUAAAGGAAUUGACGGGGACCCGCACAAGCGGUGGAGCGUGUUGUUUAAUUCGAUGAUAAGCGAAGAACCUUACCAAGGCUUGACAUCCCUGGAAGGUCUCCGAAAGGAGACUGUGCCUUCGGGAAUCAGGUGACAGGUGAUGCAUGGCCGUCGUCAGCUCGUGUCGUGAGAUGUUUGGUUAAGUCCAUCAACGAGCGCAACCCUUAUAAAUAGUUGAAUUUUUCUAUUUAGACUGCCUCGGUAACGGGGAGGAAGGAGGGGAUGACGUCAGGUCAGUAUUUCCCUUAUGCCUUGGGCUACAAACACGCUACAAUGGCCGGUACAAAGGGCAGCCAACCCGCGAGGGGGAGCAAAUCCCAUCAAAACCGGUCCCAGUUCGGAUAGCAGGCUGAAACUCGCCUGCUUGAAGUCGGAAUCGCG
rnacentral:rRNA from 1 species